rnacentral:rRNA from 1 species
GAUGAAUGCUGGCGGCGUGCCUAAUACAUGCAAGUCGAGCGAACGGACGAGAAGCUUGCUUCUCUGAUGUUAGCGGCGGACGGGUGAGUAACACGUGGAUAACCUACCUAUAAGACUGGGAUAACUUCGGGAAACCGGAGCUAAUACCGGAUAAUAUUUUGAACCGCAUGGUUCAAAAGUGAAAGACGGUCUUGCUGUCACUUAUAGAUGGAUCCGCGCUGCAUUAGCUAGUUGGUAAGGUAACGGCUUACCAAGGCAACGAUGCAUAGCCGACCUGAGAGGGUGAUCGGCCACACUGGAACUGAGACACGGUCCAGACUCCUACGGGAGGCAGCAGUAGGGAAUCUUCCGCAAUGGGCGAAAGCCUGACGGAGCAACGCCGCGUGAGUGAUGAAGGCCUUCGGAUCGUAAAACUCUGUUAUUAGGGAAGAACAUAUGUGUAAGUAACUGUGCACAUCUUGACGGUACCUAAUCAGAAAGCCACGGCUAACUACGUG